AUGCAGUGGCUGCCCCAGCUCCGAGUGCAAUGCCCAAACCAGCAAGCAGAAAAAGCCUGCUCAAGAUCACUAGCUCCUUGAUUACAAAGGCAUCUCUGAGACUGCCAAUAUAAACAAUUGAAUCAGAAGUGCUGGUAUGAAACUACGAUAAAUAUUUAUGUUCGCUGCAAUACCAGGAACAACUUCCUUGAAAGGAGAUUUGAGACCUCGACAUUACCUUUAACUCCUGUUGACUUCAGUGGGUGACUGAGACUUCAACAGCAGACAGGAUCAGGCUGUCUGUGUCACCUGUGUGUAGACAAAGCUACAAGCAGGGCACUGAGUCACACACUAUUGUGAGUCAUGGAGAAAAGAGCAACAAGAACAACCUGAACCUGUGAUGACAGGAGUCCAUGCAGCACCUCAGAGAAGAGGCAUUCUCCUUUAUCCCGGCACUUUACCU